GCCUGAAUCAGUGUGUGUGUUAGUGGAAGCGUCUGGAAAGGCGCGCGAUACAGGGUGACAGCCCCGUACACAAAAAUGCACAUACUGUGAGCUCGAUGAGUAGGGCGGGACACGUGGUAUCCUGUCUGAAUAUGGGGGGACCAUCCUCCAAGGCUAAAUACUCCUGACUGACCGAUAGUGAACCAGUACCGUGAGGGAAAGGCGAAAAGAACCCCGGCGAGGGGAGUGAAAAAGAACCUGAAACCGUGUACGUACAAGCAGUGGGAGCCUCUUUAUGGGGUGACUGCGUACCUUUUGUAUAAUGGGUCAGCGACUUAUAUUCUGUAGCAAGGUUAACCGAAUAGGGGAGCCGAAGGGAAACCGAGUCUUAACUGGGCGUUAAGUUGCAGGGUAUAGACCCGAAACCCGGUGAUCUAGCCAUGGGCAGGUUGAAGGUUGGGUAACACUAACUGGAGGACCGAACCGACUAAUGUUGAAAAAUUAGCGGAUGACUUGUGGCUGGGGGUGAAAGGCCAAUCAAACCGGGAGAUAGCUGGUUCUCCCCGAAAGCUAUUUAGGUAGCGCCUCGUGAAUUCAUCUCCGGGGGUAGAGCACUGUUUCGGCAAGGGGGUCAUCCCGACUUACCAACCCGAUGCAAACUGCGAAUACCGGAGAAUGUUAUCACGGGAGACACACGGCGGGUGCUAACGUCCGUCGUGAAGAGGGAAACAACCCAGACCGCCAGCUAAGGUCCCAAAGUCAUGGUUAAGUGGGAAACGAUGUGGGAAGGCCCAGACAGCCAGGAUGUUGGCUUAGAAGCAGCCAUCAUUUAAAGAAAGCGUAAUAGCUCACUGGUCGAGUCGGCCUGCGCGGAAGAUGUAACGGGGCUAAACCAUGCACCGAAGCUGCGGCAGCGACACUAUGUGUUGUUGGGUAGGGGAGCGUUCUGUAAGCCUGCGAAGGUGUACUGUGAGGUAUGCUGGAGGUAUCAGAAGUGCGAAUGCUGACAUAAGUAACGAUAAAGCGGGUGAAAAGCCCGCUCGCCGGAAGACCAAGGGUUCCUGUCCAACGUUAAUCGGGGCAGGGUGAGUCGACCCCUAAGGCGAGGCCGAAAGGCGUAGUCGAUGGGAAACAGGUUAAUAUUCCUGUACUUGGUGUUACUGCGAAGGGGGGACGGAGAAGGCUAUGUUGGCCGGGCGACGGUUGUCCCGGUUUAAGCGUGUAGGCUGGUUUUCCAGGCAAAUCCGGAAAAUCAAGGCUGAGGCGUGAUGACGAGGCACUACGGUGCUGAAGCAACAAAUGCCCUGCUUCCAGGAAAAGCCUCUAAGCAUCAGGUAACAUUAAAUCGUACCCCAAACCGACACAGGUGGUCAGGUAGAGAAUACCAAGGCGCUUGAGAGAACUCGGGUGAAGGAACUAGGCAAAAUGGUGCCGUAACUUCGGGAGAAGGCACGCUGAUAUGUAGGUGAAGCGACUUGCUCGUGGAGCUGAAAUCAGUCGAAGAUACCAGCUGGCUGCAACUGUUUAUUAAAAACACAGCACUGUGCAAACACGAAAGUGGACGUAUACGGUGUGACGCCUGCCCGGUGCCGGAAGGUUAAUUGAUGGGGUUAGCGGUAACGCGAAGCUCUUGAUCGAAGCCCCGGUAAACGGCGGCCGUAACUAUAACGGUCCUAAGGUAGCGAAAUUCCUUGUCGGGUAAGUUCCGACCUGCACGAAUGGCGUAAUGAUGGCCAGGCUGUCUCCACCCGAGACUCAGUGAAAUUGAACUCGCUGUGAAGAUGCAGUGUACCCGCGGCAAGACGGAAAGACCCCGUGAACCUUUACUAUAGCUUGACACUGAACAUUGAGCCUUGAUGUGUAGGAUAGGUGGGAGGCUUUGAAGUGUGGACGCCAGUCUGCAUGGAGCCGGCCUUGAAAUACCACCCUUUAAUGUUUGAUGUUCUAACGUUGGCCCCUGACCGGGGUUGCGGACAGUGUCUGGUGGGUAGUUUGACUGGGGCGGUCUCCUCCUAAAGAGUAACGGAGGAGCACGAAGGUUGGCUAAUCCUGGUCGGACAUCAGGAGGUUAGUGCAAUGGCAUAAGCCAGCUUGACUGCGAGCGUGACGGCGCGAGCAGGUGCGAAAGCAGGUCAUAGUGAUCCGGUGGUUCUGAAUGGAAGGGCCAUCGCUCAACGGAUAAAAGGUACUCCGGGGAUAACAGGCUGAUACCGCCCAAGAGUUCAUAUCGACGGCGGUGUUUGGCACCUCGAUGUCGGCUCAUCACAUCCUGGGGCUGAAGUAGGUCCCAAGGGUAUGGCUGUUCGCCAUUUAAAGUGGUACGCGAGCUGGGUUUAGAACGUCGUGAGACAGUUCGGUCCCUAUCUGCCGUGGGCGCUGGAGAACUGAGGGGGGCUGCUCCUAGUACGAGAGGACCGGAGUGGACGCAUCACUGGUGUUCGGGUUGUCAUGCCAAUGGCACUGCCCGGUAGCUAAAUGCGGAAGAGAUAAGUGCUGAAAGCAUCUAAGCACGAAACUUGCCCCGAGAUGAGUUCUCCCUGACUCCUUGA
rnacentral:rRNA from 1 species